AACGAACGCUGGCGGCAGGCUUAACACAUGCAAGUCGAGCGCCCCGCAAGGGGAGCGGCAGACGGGUGAGUAACACGUGGGAAUCUACCCAUCCCUACGGAACAACUCCGGGAAACUGGAGCUAAUACCGUAUACGCCCUUUGGGGGAAAGAUUUAUCGGGGAUGGAUGAGCCCGCGUUGGAUUAGCUAGUUGGUGGGGUAAAGGCCUACCAAGGCGACGAUCCAUAGCUGGUCUGAGAGGAUGAUCAGCCACAUUGGGACUGAGACACGGCCCAAACUCCUACGGGAGGCAGCAGUGGGGAAUAUUGGACAAUGGCGCAAGCCUGAUCCAGCCAUGCCGCGUGAAUGAUGAAGGCCUUAGGGUUGUAAAGUUCUUUCACCGAUGAAGAUAAUGACGGUAGUCGGAGAAGAAGCCCCGGCUAACUUCGUGCCAGCCGCCGCAGUAA
rnacentral:rRNA from 1 species